rnacentral:rRNA from 1 species
GACCUCAAAUCAGGUAGGACUACCCGCUGAACUUAAGCAUAUCAAUAAGCGGAGGAAAAGAAACUAACAAGGAUUCCCCUAGUAACUGCGAGUGAAGCGGGAAAAGCUCAAAUUUAAAAUCUGGCGGUCUUUGGCUGUCCGAGUUGUAAUCUAGAGAAGUGUUAUCCGCGCUGGACCGUGUACAAGUCUCCUGGAAUGGAGCGUCAUAGAGGGUGAGAAUCCCGUCUUUGACACGGACUGCCAGGGCUUUGUGAUGCGCUCUCAAAGAGUCGAGUUGUUUGGGAAUGCAGCUCAAAAUGGGUGGUAAAUUCCAUCUAAAGCUAAAUAUUGGCGANAGACCGAUAGCGAACAAGUACCGUGAGGGAAAGAUGAAAAGAACUUUGGAAAGAGAGUUAAACAGUACGUGAAAUUGCUGAAAGGGAAACGCUUGAAGUCAGUCGCAUUGUGUGGGAAUCAACCUUGCUUUUGCUGGGUGUAUUUUCCAUAUGAUGGGUCAGCAUCAAUUUUGACCGUUGGAUAAAGUUCAAGGGAAUGUGGCAUCUUCGGAUGUGUUAUAGCCCUUGGUCGUAUACAACGAUUGGGAUUGAGGAACUCAGCACGCCGAAAGGCCGGGUCUUGUACCACGUUCGUGCUUAGGAUGCUGGCAUAAUGGCUUUAAUCGACCCGUCUUGAAACACGGACCAAGGAGUCUAACAUGCCUGCGAGUAUUUGGGUGAAAAACCCGAGUGCGUAAUGAAAGUGAAAGUUGAGAUCCCUGUCAUGGGGAGCAUCGACGCCCGGACCAGACCUUUUGUGACGGAUCUGCGGUAGAGCAUGUAUGUUGGGACCCGAAAGAUGGUGAACUAUGCCUGAAUAGGGUGAAGCCAGAGGAAACUCUGGUGGAGGCUCGUAGCGAUUCUGACGUGCAAAUCGAUCGUCAAAUUUGGGUAUAGGGGCGAAAGACUAAUCGAACCAUCUAGUAGCUGGUUCCU